UUAGGACGAAGUGACUGAGACCACGCUUCCAGGAAAAGCCACUAAGCUUCAGCUGUAGAAAAACCGUACCGCAAACCGACACUGGUAGGCAGGGUGAGAAUCCCAAGGCGCUUGAGAGAACUCGGGUGAAGGAACUAGGCAAAAUGGCACCGUAACUUCGGGAGAAGGUGCGCCCUUUGGUGUGGUCACGUGCGUGACUGAGCAUCGAAGGGUCGCAGUAACCUGGCCGCUGCGACUGUUUAUCAAAAACACAGCACUCUGCAAACACGAAAGUGGACGUAUAGGGUGUGACGCCUGCCCGGUGCUGGAAGGUUAAUUGAUGGGGUCAGCCGCAAGGCGAAGCUCUUGAUCGAAGCCCCAGUAAACGGCGGCCGUAACAAUAACGGUCCUAAGGUAGCGAAACUCCUUGUCGGGUAAGUUCCGACCUGCACGAAUGGCGUAACGACAGCGGCGCUGUCUCCACCCGAGACUCAGUGAAAUUGAAAUCGCUGUGAAGAUGCAGCGUUCCCGCGGCAAGACGGAAAGACCCCGUGAACCUUUACUAUAGCUUUACAUUGAACGUUGAGUUCUUCUGUGUAGGAUAGGUGGGAGGCUAUGAAACCGAGACGCUAGUUUCGGUGGAGCCAUCCUUGAAAUACCACCCUGAAGUGCUUGACGUUCUAACCUAGGUCCGUAAUCCGGAUCGGGGACCAUGUAUGGUGGGUAGUUUGACUGGGGCGGUCUCCUCCCAAAGAGUAACGGAGGAGCACGAAGGUACGCUCAGCGCGGUCGGACAUCGCGCACUGUGUGCAAAGGCAUAAGCGUGCUUGACUGCGAGAUCGACGGAUCAAGCAGGUACGAAAGUAGGUCUUAGUGAUCCGGUGGUUCUGUAUGGAAGGGCCAUCGCUCAACGGAUAAAAGGUACUCCGGGAUAACAGGCUGAUACCGCCCAAGAGUUCAUAUCGACGGCGGUGUUUGGCACCUCGAUGUCGGCUCAUCACAUCCUGGGGCUGUAGCCGGUCCCAAGGGUAUGGCUGUUCGCCAUUUAAAGUGGUACGCGAGCUGGGUUCAGAACGUCGUGAGACAGUUCGGUCCCUAUCUGUCGUGGGCGUUGGAGAUUUGAGGGGGGCUGCUCCUAGUACGAGAGGACCGGAGUGGACGUUCCGCUGGUGUUCGGGUUGUCAUGCCCAUGGCAUUGCCCGGUAGCUACGAACGGAAGUGAUAACCGCUGAAAGCAUCUAAGCGGGAAGCACGCCCCAAGAUGAGAUCUCCCUAGAGCUAGACUCUCCUUAAGGCACCAUCAAGACUAGGUGGUUGAUAGGCGCGGUGUGGAAGUGUAGCAAUGCAUUGAGCUUACGCGUACUAAUGAGCCGUGAGGCUUGACC
rnacentral:rRNA from 1 species